rnacentral:rRNA from 1 species
AUUGAACGCUGGCGGCAUGCCUUACACAUGCAAGUCGAACGGCAGCGGACCUUCGGGUGCCGGCGAGUGGCGAACGGGUGAGUAAUGCAUCGGAACGUGCCAUUGAGUGGGGGAUAACGUAGCGAAAGUUGCGCUAAUACCGCAUAUUCUGUGAGCAGGAAAGCAGGGGACCGCAAGGCCUUGCGCUCUUUGAGCGGCCGAUGUCAGAUUAGCUAGUUGGUGAGGUAACGGCUUACCAAGGCGACGAUCUGUAGCGGGUCUGAGAGGAUGAUCCGCCACACUGGAACUGAGACACGGUCCAGACUCCUACGGGAGGCAGCAGUGGGGAAUUUUGGACAAUGGGGGCAACCCUGAUCCAGCCAUGCCGCGUGAGUGAAGAAGGCCUUCGGGUUGUAAAGGUACUCUUUCGGUCCGGGGAACGGAAAGUACGCAUGGGUUAAG